rnacentral:rRNA from 1 species
GGGAACCUGCGGAAGGAUCAUUACAGUAUUCUUUUGCCAGCGCUAAUUGCGCGGCGAAAACCUUACACACAGUGUUUUUUGUUAUUACAAGAACUUUUGCUUUGGUCUGGACUAGAAAUAGUUUGGGCCAGAGGUUUACUGAACUAAACUUCAAUAUUUAUAUUGAAUUGUUAUUUAUUUAAUUGUCAAUUUGUUGAUUAAAUUCAAAAAAUCUUCAAAACUUUCAACAACGGAUCUCUUGGUUCUCGCAUCGAUGAAGAACGCAGCGAAAUGCGAUAAGUAAUAUGAAUUGCAGAUUUUCGUGAAUCAUCGAAUCUUUGAACGCACAUUGCGCCCUCUGGUAUUCCAGAGGGCAUGCCUGUUUGAGCGUCAUUUCUCUCUCAAACCUUCGGGUUUGGUAUUGAGUGAUACUCUUAGUUGAACUAGGCGUUUGCUUGAAAUGUAUUGGCAUGAGUGGUACUGGAUAGUGCUAUAUGACUUUCAAUGUAUUAGGUUUAUCCAACUCGUUGAAUAGUUUAAUGGUAUAUUUCUCGGUAUUCUAGGCUCGGCCUUACAAUAUAACAAACAAGUUUGACCUCAAAUCAGGUAGGAUUACCCGCUGAACUUAAGCAUAUCAAUAGCGGAGGAAA